CACUAAGCGGGAGGUAAACUCCUUCUAAGACUAAAUAUUGCCAUGAGACCGAUAGCGAACAAGUACCGUGAGGGAAAGUUGAAAAGCACUCUGAAUAGAGAGUCAAAAAGUACGUGAAACUGUCUAGGGUUAAGAAAGCAUGAAGUGUCUAAAUAUCUGAAUGGAGAAAUUCAGUAUCAUAUUGUUGUAGUAAAAUUUUUACGAAGCAUAUGGUGUGCACUUUUCUCCUUGUAAGACACUGCGAUCCAUUAGAACCUUGUGUUAAUAACUACCAUGUUGUGAGUUAUUAUAUCUAUCAAUGGGCCUGGCAUGGAGCUUACAUAUUUAACGUUAGUACUAAAUAUUGUUAAGGUGAUAUUCAGGAAAGCGAUGUAAACUGCUGGUGUCUCGUAUAGAUGUCUGAUGGAUUUUAAGCGUUUACAAUAUGACACCUCGGUGUAACCAGAAAUGGUUUCUUGUAUUGUAUCGGAUCAGCAGUGUAUUUGUUUAGUAAUCUUCAUGA
rnacentral:rRNA from 1 species